rnacentral:tRNA from 1 species
GCGGGGGUGUCCGAGCCUGGCCAAACGCCGAGCGGGCCAGAGGAGGUGGGCUUAGGACCCACUGGCGUAGGCCUGCGUGGGUUCAAAUCCCACCCCCCGCACCA